rnacentral:rRNA from 1 species
CAGCGUAGGCACCAAGCGUUGUCCGGAUUUAUUGGGCGUAAAGAGCUCGUAGGCGGUUCGGUAAGUCGGGUGUGAAAACUCUGGGCUCAACCCAGGAGCCGCCACCCGAUACUGCUGUGACUUGAGUUCGGUAGGGGAGCGGGGAAUUCCUGGUGUAGCGGUGAAAUGCGCAGAUAUCAGGAGGAACACCAGUGGCGAAGGCGCCCGCUCUGGGCCGAGACUGACGCUGAGGAGCGAAAGCGUGGGUAGCAAACAGG